AUUGAACGCUGGCGGCAUGCUUUACACAUGCAAGUCGAACGGCAGCGCGGGCUUCGGCCUGGCGGCGAGUGGAGAACGGGUGUGUAAUACAUCGGAACGUGCCCAGUAGUGGGGUAUAGCUCGGCGAAAGCCGGAUAUAUACCGCAUACGACCUGAGGGUGAAAGCGGGGGAGCUUCGGACCUCGCGCACGUGGCGCGCCCGAUGGCAGAUUAGCUAGUUGGUGGGGUAAAGGCCUACCAAGGCGACGAUCUGUAGCUGGUCUGAGAGGACGACCAGCCACACUGGGACUGAGACACGGCCCAGACUCCUACGGGAGGCAGCAGUGGGGAAUUUUGGACAAUGGGCGCAAGCCUGAUCCAGCAAUGCCGCGUGUGUGAUGAAGGCCUUCGGGUUGUAAAGCACUUUUGGCGGGAACGAAAAGGACUGUGCUAAUACCACGGUUCGAUGACGGUACCCGAAGAAUAAGCACCGGCUAACUACGUG
rnacentral:rRNA from 1 species